rnacentral:rRNA from 1 species
AUUUAUAGCCAUACCACCCUGAACCUGCCCGAUCAUACUUGAUCUCAGAAGCUAAGCAGGUUCAGGUCUGAUUAAUACAUGAUGCCCUUUGUGAUGCUAUUUGGC